rnacentral:rRNA from 1 species
CAAUAGCGUAUAUUAAAGUUGUUGCGGUUAAAAAGCUCGUAGUUGGAUUUCUGCCGAGGACGACCGGUCCGCCCUCUGGGUGUGUAUCUGGUUUGGCCUGGGCAUCUUCUUGGAGAACGUAGCUGCACUUGACUGUGUGGUGCGGUGUCCAGGACUUUUACUUUGAGGAAAUUAGAGUGUUUCAAGCAGGCACACGCCUUGAAUACAUUAGCAUGGAAUAAUAAGAUAGGACCUCGGUUCUAUUUUGUUGGUUUCUAGAGCUGAGGUAAUGAUUAAUAGGGAUAGUUGGGGGCAUUCGUAUUUAACUGUCAGAGGUGAAAUUCUUGGAUUAGUUAAAGACGGACUACUGCGAAAGCAUUUGCCAAGGAUGUUUUCAUUGA